CCUACGGGAGGCAGCAGUGAGGAAUAUUGGUCAAUGGGCGGGAGCCUGAACCAGCCAAGUCGCGUGAGGGAAGACGGUCCUAUGGAUUGUAAACCUCUUUAGGCGGGGAGCAAUGCCGGGCACGUGUGCCCGGAGGGAGAGUACCCGCAGAAUAAGCAUCGGCUAACUCCGUGCCAGCAGCCGCGGUAAUACGGAGGAUGCGAGCGUUAUCCGGAUUUAUUGGGUUUAAAGGGAGCGUAGGCCGGCUUUUAAGUCAGCUGUGAAAGUCCGCGGCUCAACCGUGGAAUUGCAGUUGAAACUGGAGGCCUUGAGUGCACACAGGGAUGCCGGAAUUCAUGGUGUAGCGGUGAAAUGCUUAGAUAUCAUGAAGAACUCCGAUCGCGAAGGCAAGUGUCCGGGGUGCAACUGACGCUGAGGCUCGAAAGUGCGGGUAUCAAACAGGAUUAGAUACCCGGGUAGUC
rnacentral:rRNA from 1 species